rnacentral:rRNA from 1 species
CAGCCGCCACGGGAAAACGGAGGGUGCAAGCGUUAUCCGGAUUCACUGGGUUUAAAGGGUGCGUAGGCGGGCAGGUAUGUCAGUGGUGAAAUCUUCGAGCUUAACUCGGAAACUGCCGUUGAUACUAUCUGUCCUGAAUAACGUUGAGGUGAGCGGAAUAUGUCAUGUAGCGGUGAAAUGCUUAGAUAUGACAUAGAACACCGAUUGCGAAGGCAGCUCACUAAACGCUCAUUGACGCUGAGGCACGAAAGCGUGGGGAUCAAACAGGAUUAGAUACCCCUGUAGUCCCUGUCUCUUAUAC